UCUUCUGAUUAUGAAUUUAAUUAAAAUCCUGAUUCCUGGAUGGUAUCGUGGGCCUAUUGAAUGAGAAUCUCUGGAACUAGAACUUGAAAUCUGCAUUUUAACAAAUGAGUCUGGUGAUUUUUAGCAUUCUAACAUUGGAGAACUACUGGUGAUGGAGAGUUCAGAUGACCAAUGGUGAAUUUUAUCUCACAUUACUAGCUUCUUCAGUUUUCUUCCCCUCAGUGCUCAGACCACACAGCAUGCCCUGUGGUACAGGAGAAAUAUGGAGAAUGCAGCACACUUGCUUCCUACCGAAGUAGGUAUUUUCUUUCCAGAUUUCCUUCAGUUGUGAAGUCUGACGAUUUCAAUUUUUUUGGAUGAAAUAGAAAAUGCUCACCUAAAAAUGAGCAGAGGAUACAGUAAUGAAGAAUAAAGUAUCUACUUUCUUGAAAAUCUGAGUCUAUCAGGGAGAGAGAUAGCACUCCAAUAGUGGAUUAAUUGUGAUUAUGAACAUCUACUAUAAUGGAUAGUAGAGAAGAUAAUUUGUAUGUAAUUGAAGGACCACGUUCUUCUUAGCUUGAAGUCAUUGUGAUAGGUAA